rnacentral:rRNA from 1 species
GAUGAACGCUGGCGGCGUGCCUAAUACAUGCAAGUCGAGCGAACGGACGAGAAGCUUGCUUCUCUGAUGUUAGCGGCGGACGGGUGAGUAACACGUGGAUAACCUACCUAUAAGACUGGGAUAACUUCGGGAAACCGGAGCUAAUACCGGAUAAUAUUUUGAACCGCAUGGUUCAAAAGUGAAAGACGGUCUUGCUGUCACUUCUCGCUGCAUCCGCGCUGCAUUAGCUAGUUGGUAAGGUAACGGCUUACCAAGGCAACGAUGCAUAGCCGACCUGAGAGGGUGAUCGGCCACACUGGAACUGAGACACGGUCCAGACUCCUACGGGAGGCAGCAGUAGGGAAUCUGCCGCAAUGGGCGAAAGCCUGACGGAGCAACGCCGCGUGAGUGAUGAAGGUCUUCGGAUCGUAAAACUCUGUUAUUAGGGAAGAACAUAUGUGUAAGUAACUGUGCACAUCUUGACGGUACCUAAUCAGAAAGCCACGGCUAACUACGUG